CUCGAAUUUCAGGUACAACGAGAGAUAAGAACAAUGAAAAUCCUGCACCACCCCAAUACUGUAACAAUAGUUGAGGUUAUCGGCUCGAAGACGAAGAUAUACAUAGUAAUGGAAUACAUAUCAGGAGGUCAACUCUCUGACAAAUUGUCCUACGCCACGAAAUUAAGUGAAACAGAAGCAAGAA